GAUGAACGCUGGCGGCGUGCCUAAUACAUGCAAGUCGAGGGGCAGCGGAUGAAGUGCUUGCACUUCUGCCGGCGACCGGCGCACGGGUGCGUAACGCGUAUGCAACCUACCUUUAACAGGGGGAUAAUCUGGAGAAAUCCGGUCUAAUACCCCAUAAUAUCAUUUAAGGCAUCUUAAUUGGUUAAAAAUUCCGAUGGUUAAAGAUGGGCAUGCGUUGUAUUAGUUAGAUGGUGAGGUAACGGCUCACCAUGACUACGAUACAUAGGGGGACUGAGAGGUUUACCCCCCACACUGGUACUGAGACACGGACCAGACUCCUACGGGAGGCAGCAGUGAGGAAUAUUGGUCAAUGGACGCAAGUCUGAACCAGCCAUGCCGCGUGCAGGAUGACGGCUCUAUUAGUUGUAAACUGCUUUUGUACGAGGGUAACCGCGGGUACGUGUACCCGUCUGAAAGUAUCGUACGAAUAAGGAUCGGCUGACUCCGUGCCAGCAGCCGCCGUAA
rnacentral:rRNA from 1 species